rnacentral:rRNA from 1 species
AGUGAACGCUGGCGGUAGGCCUAACACAUGCAAGUCGAACGGCAGCACAGGAGAGCUUGCUCUCUGGGUGGCGAGUGGCGGACGGGUGAGGAAUACAUCGGAAUCUACUUUUUCGUGGGGGAUAACGUAGGGAAACUUACGCUAAUACCGCAUACGACCUACGGGUGAAAGCAGGGGAUCUUCAGACCUUGCGCGAUUGAAUGAGCCGAUGUGGGAUUAGCUAGUUGGCGGGGUAAAGGCCCACCAAGGCGACGAUCCGUAGCUGGUCUGAGAGGAUGAGCAGCCAAACUGGAGCUGAGACACGGUCCAGACUCCUACGGGAGGCAGCAGUGGGGAAUAUUGGACAAUGGGCGCAAGCCUGCUCCAGCCAUACCGCGUGGGUGAAGAAGGCCUUCGGGUUGUAAAGCCCUUUUGUUGGGAAAGAAAUCCAGCUGGUUAAUACCCGGUUGGGAUGACGGUACCCAAAGAAUAAGCACCGGCUAACUUCGUGCCAGCCGCCGCCGUAA